rnacentral:siRNA from 1 species
ACUAUUGCUUCAACAAAAUUAUG